rnacentral:rRNA from 1 species
UGGAUAUCUGCCUUUUGGUUCGGAAUAACCCCGGGAAACUGGGGCUAAUACCGGAUGGUUCCUUCGGGAUAAAGAUUUAUCGCCAAAAGAUGAGUCCGCGUACGAUUAGCUAGUUGGUGAGGUAAUGGCUCACCAAGGCGACGAUCGUUAGCUGGUCUGAGAGGACGAUCAGCCACACUGGGACUGAGACACGGCCCAGACUCCUACGGGAGGCAG